rnacentral:lncRNA from 1 species
UGAUAUACCGGCAUACAUUUAAAUUAUAUAUAAUGUUUCCUUAUAGAGCGUUUGUUCGCUCGCUCUCCCACAUUCCGCCCCUCACCAGUCGCACAAACACAAAAAUAAGGCUAGUUCUAAUGUCAGUAGAACAAGAGCUGGUGGCUCAGGCUGCUUGGGACGCGAGUUCUCGCGCUGCUGACCGCUCGUUGACCAGCUCGGCGACGCUGCUGCUGAGACGUCAGCUGAAGCCAGCUAUCACAUGAGACUUACAACUGUGCCUCACAAAUGAUCAGCUCUGCUUUUAAUGUUUUAAUGGGGAAGUGUUGGUCAAAAACGCCAUACAUUCAACAUCACGACCGUUGUCACGCCUCACGGAAGUCCACAGGUUAGUCCACAGGUUAAAAUGAGAAUGGGAGGCUUUGAACCUGCAGCCCGGAUUGCCCGCCCGGCCAUAUGUCACAACCCCGUGUGUGUAUGUGUACUUGCAGGAUCCUCCGCCAUGCUCUUGAGGACCGGAGCCAGGAGCCGUUCGAGGGUGAGCCCAUGGAGAGGGUACCUGCAAGCAGAGAACUGCGGUCUUCGUGCGGGGUUGGGAGGGCGAGCCCGAAGCGCCGUGUAGCCACGCAAAGAUAGAGCGUAGCCAGGGACGACGGCGUCAGUACUGACAGAACGAAACUCGCAAAGUAGCGAGCGCGACACAGCGCUCUGCUACUUAACCGGGCCCACCGCCCAUGCCGCGCAUGGGCCCCAAACAACAAACACACACACGCCACGCCCCUUCGGGGCCCACAACUGUGCACACUCCGAGCGCAGGAAACCUUGGUUUCCGACAACUCGCUGCGCUCGAGCGGAAACCAUCAGGAAAUAUGUUUGAGCAGAUGCCGUAGAUGCAGGUAGAUGCAGGUAGAUGCAGGUCCCCAGCGGCUGCAACCCUGGCGCAAGAUGGUUCACAACCCCUUCACUCACGUUGUGUUUGCUGGUCGGAGCCUUCAAGAGAUGACUGUUUGCUGCCUCCCUUACUAGCUCUGUAUGGUAUGUAUGUCUAUAUCACUUCCUGGUACCUCUAGUCCGUGUCACAUACCCGCCUGCUGCCACACGCCCCUUCCCCCAGGUCGGCUGGCUGGACUGCCGCCACACCUCCAACAUUGUGUUUAGCAAUGGUGAGUGUUCGCAUCACCAAUAGGCCUACACACCGGAACACAUACAGGCCCGCUUCAUGAGAUAGGUCCGGUGCACUGCCAAGCACUCUGUUCUUUGCUGGCAGCCUUGCAUUGGCAUUGGCACCUUGCGGCAGGAGUGCAGGGUGUGUUCACAUGUGUGCACGCGUGGAUGCAGGUGCAGCCAGUGGAGGCAGAACUACAGGAGCUAGCAUGAUACAAGCUGUCCGGCACUAGAGCUGGAGACGGGCGUGGUGGCACCAGUGGCGGCUGCUGUGGAGGCGGGUGAUGUGCCGACUGCAGUGGAGGCAGGUGUCAAGGUGGUGGGAGACAUCAUGCCCAGCAGACACGCAAGUGGUUGUUGCACGGUUGACACACUCAUACCAUUUAGACAUCAUAUGGCAGGCUUGGGUUGAUGGCACAGACUUCAUAUAGUGUUGUAGACAGUGGCAGACCGGGAGAGCAAGACUGUGGUGGGCUUUGAAUGCACGGAGACUCAGCUGGAGAGUGCCAAGGUGUAGGGAAGUAGAGGGCUAACUGAGUAUGGUGUUGUUGGUGAGUUGGACUGGGAACACAAGGCAGGUGACCUCCUCGCUGCCCUGCCACCGUUGGUCUCUUGGGCACGAGAUGAAGUACAUUGAUGCAGUCAGUGGAAUGCAGUAGUACUGGUGCGUGGGGGCAGUUGACAUGGGUUGGUGAGGGCACUUGGCAUAAAAUGCAGCAGGCUGAUGUGUGUGGUCACUGCUAGGGCAGGGCUUGUAUCAAGGUGGAAUCAUAUAAAGGAGACACUUUACAGGCCAUAAUGAACAACCCUAAACCCAGGCUGGCAGGCGGGCUGGGCGGGGGCUGCACGGCAUGCAGCUGGGCGGGGGCUGGGCGGGCCUGGGCGGGGGCUGGGCGGGCCUGGGAGGGGGCUGGGUGGAGG